GCCCAUGCAUAGCCUUGCAUUUUCGCCCUGGAGCACCAUCAAUCCCCUCUCCUUGAUUCCAAAACCCAACCCCACCUCUACGUCCUUACAUCAAUUUUAACCCCUAGAUCCACCUCAAAGCCCUACCUUCCACCAUUCACCAACAGUAUCAAAACCCUAAAUACAGAUUUCACAAUCGAAUUCCAAUCUCCAAUCUAAAGGCGUCCGAUUUCAAAAUAAAUCGAUCCAACUCCAGCUCCGAUCGUUGGAAUUGAGGAGAAUUGAAGCCGCCCUUUCGAUCUAGAGAAAGGAAAGGUCG
rnacentral:misc_RNA from 1 species